rnacentral:rRNA from 1 species
GCCUUCAUGAAGUCGGAAUUGCUAGUAAUGGCAGGUCAGCAUACUGCCGUGAAUACGUUCCCGGGCCUUGUACACACCGCCCGUCACACCAUGAGAGUUGGGAAUACCCGAAGCCUGUGAGCCAACAAACGAGGCAGCAGUCGAAGGUAGAAUCAAUGAUUGGGGUGAAGUCGUAACAAGGUAUC